GUGCACUGAUGAUAUGUACCCCUGCAAGUCAGGGGCAUCUGCUCACCUACGCGUCUUUGCAAACUGCUGGACAUCAUCUGCUGCAGAUGCAGAGGUCCUGCUCUGUGACCCACACUCUGAGCUCUAAAGAGAAGGAAACACACCCACACCCACACCCUUGAGAACUCACUGACCACAGAAUCACAGGCCAGAGGUGAGAGCUGGGGAAAGGCAAACUCUCCCAGUCCCUGGGAGUGGUCAUUACAGACUGGGAAAUCGCCCUCCACCUGAUGGUAAAGGACUGCAAAUCCUAUUCAUGUGACUCAGGGCCUCUGGUGUGCCUUCUGGGAAG